rnacentral:rRNA from 1 species
CAGCAAAACUGCAAAUGGCUCAUUAAAACAGUUAUGGUUUACUUGAUAAUAGUUUUUACAUGGAUAACCGUGGUAAUUCUACAGCUAAUACAUGAGCAAAAUCUCAACUUUAUUAGAAGAGACGCAUUUAUUAGAUAAAAAGCCAAUGCAUGCUUUUACAGUAUGGAAAUUGGUGAUUUAUAAUAACUUAGCAAAUCGCAAAGUGAAAACAGGCGAUAAAUCAUUCAAGUUUCUGACCUAUCAGCUUUCGACGGUAUGGUAUUGGCUUACCGUGGCAGUGACGGUUAACGGGGGAUUAGGGUUCGAUUCCGGAGAGGGAGCCUGAGAAACGGCUACCACAUCUAAGGAAGGCAGCAGGCGCGCAAAUUACCCAAUUCUAACAGUUUAAGAGAGGUAGUAACAAGAAAUAACAAUACAAGGCAAUUAAAAUGCUUUGUAAUUGGAAUGAUAGAAAUUUAAACCCUUUUUAAAGUAUCAAUUGGAGGGCAAGUCUGGUGCCAGCAGCCGCGGUAAUUCCAGCUCCAAUAGCGUAUAUUAAAAUUGUUGCAGUUAAAAAGCUCGUAGUUGAAGUUCUGCUAAAAGUAACCGGUCUGCUUUUAAUAAAAGUGGUAUCUUGGUGUGUAUUUAGCAAUGAUGUCCUUUGAAGUGUUUUUUACUUUAUUGUAAUAAAGCAUAUUCAGGACUUUUACUUUGAGAAAAUUAGAGUGUUUCUAGCAGGCCAACGCUUUGAAUACUGCAGCAUGGAAUAAUAAGAUAGGAUUUUAGUUCUACAUUAUUGGUUUUAAGAGCUAAAUUAAUGAUUGAUAGGGACAGUUGGGGGCAUUUGUAUUUAACUGUCAGAGGUGAAAUUCUUAGAUUUGUUAAAGACAAACUACUGCGAAAGCAUUUGCC